rnacentral:rRNA from 1 species
GACGGAGGAUGCAAGCGUUAUCCGGACUGAUUGGGCGUAAAGCGUCCGCAGGUGGCAGUUCAAGUCUGCUGUCAAAGACCGGGGCUUAACUUCGGAAAGGCAGUGGAAACUGAACAGCUAGAGUAUGGUAGGGGCAGAGGGAAUUCCUGGUGUAGCGGUGAAAUGCGUAGGGAUCAGGAAGAACAUCGGUGGCGAAGGCGCUCUGCUGGACCAUAACUGACACUCAGGGACGAAAGCUAGGGGAGCGAAUGGG